rnacentral:rRNA from 1 species
AUGAAUGCUGGCGGCGUGUCUAAGGCAUGCAAGUCGAGCGGAUUAUUUUUGUAGCAAUACAGAGAUAGUCAGCGGCAACCGGGUGCGUAACACAUUGGUAACCUGCCUCGAAGUCGGGCACAACCCCGCGAAAGCGGGACUAAUUCCACGAUGAUCAUGAGGGGACGCAAGUCAUUCUCAUGUAAAGCGCAAAACGCGCUUCGAGAGGGACCUAUGGCCUAUCAGCUAGUUGGUGAGGUAACGGCCCACCAAGGCGAUGACGGGUAGGGGAUGUGAGAGCAUGAUCCCCCUCACUGGGACUGAGACACUGCCCAGACACCUACGGGUGGCUGCAGUCGAGAAUAUUCCCCAAUGGGCGAAAGCCUGAGGGAGCGACGCCGCGUGUGGGAUGAAGGCCUUCGGGUCGUAAACCACUUUUGCCGAGGAAGAACUUUGACGGUACUCGGAGAAUAAGAGGUUGCUAACUCUGU